AACGAACGCUGGCGGCAGGCCUAACACAUGCAAGUCGAGCGAGGACUUCGGUUCUAGCGGCGGACGGGUGAGUAACGCGUGGGAAUGUGCCCUUCUCUACGGAAUAGCCCUGGGAAACUGGGAGUAAUACCGUAUACGCCCUUUUGGGGAAAGAUUUAUCGGAGAAGGAUCAGCCCGCGUUGGAUUAGGUAGUUGGUGGGGUAAUGACCUACCAAGCCGACGAUCCAUAGCUGGUUUGAGAGGAUGAUCAGCCACACUGGGACUGAGACACGGCCCAGACUCCUACGGGAGGCAGCAGUGGGGAAUCUUAGACAAUGGGGGCAACCCUGAUCUAGCCAUGCCGCGUGAGUGAUGAAGGCCUUAGGGUUGUAAAGCUCUUUCAGCUGGGAAGAUAAUGACGGUACCAGCAGAAGAAGCCCCGGCUAACUCCGUG
rnacentral:rRNA from 1 species